CCCCCCCCCCCCCCCCCCCCCCCCCCCCCCCCCCCCCCCCCCCCCCCCCCCCCCCCCCCCCCCCCCCCCCCCCCCCCCCCCCCCCCCCCCCCAGCAGUUUGUGUCCCCAGAGCAGUUUCUGUCCCCCCCCAGAGCAGUUUCUGGGAUCAUUUUGGGUGAUUUUGGGAAAAACUGGGUGAAUCUGGGAUCAUUUUGGGUGAUUUUGGGUGAAUCUGGGAUCAUUUUGGGUGAUUAUGGGUUAUUUUGGGUGAAUCUGAGAUCAUUUUGGGUGAUUUUG
rnacentral:lncRNA from 1 species